rnacentral:rRNA from 1 species
UACGUAGGGUGCGAGCGUUAAUCGGAAUUACUGGGCGUAAAGCGUGCGCAGGCGGUUUUGUAAGCCAGAUGUGAAAUCCCCGGGCUUAACCUGGGAAUGGCAUUUGGGACUGCAAGGCUUGAGUGCGGCAGAGGAGACUGGAAUUCCUGGUGUAGCAGUGAAAUGCGUAGAUAUCAAGAGGAACACCUGAGGUGAAGACGGGUUGCUGGGCCGACACUGACGCUGAUAGCGCGAAAGCCAGGGGAGCAAACGGG